UACUAACGAUUUAAUCUUUGUUUUGAAUCAUAGCAUGCAAAUUUAAUUUUCUCAUCAUUUUAUUUUGUCAUUGACUUAGUGUGUAUAAAUAGGAAAUUGAUGUAAGUUUUAUUUCUUGCAUUUUAUUUUGGCAUAAAGGCCUUAGGGUUGUAUUUAGGAAUUGAUGUAAUAAUGUAGGUAACACAAGCACCGACACAUGCACCGAC
rnacentral:lncRNA from 1 species